UACGAAGGGGGCUAGCGUUGUUCGGAAUUACUGGGCGUAAAGCGCACGUAGGCGGACUUUUAAGUCAGGGGUGAAAUCCCGGGGCUCAACCCCGGAACUGCCUUUGAUACUGCAAGUCUAGAGGUCGAGAGAGGUGAGUGGAAUUCCGAGUGUAGAGGUGAAAUUCGUAGAUAUUCGGAGGAACACCAGUGGCGAAGGCUGCUCACUGGCUCGAUACUGACGCUGAGGUGCGAAAGCGUGGGGAGCAAACAGG
rnacentral:rRNA from 1 species